GUGGGUAGUUUGACUGGGGCGGUCUCCUCCUAAAGAGUAACGGAGGAGCACGAAGGUUGGCUAAUCCUGGUCGGACAUCAGGAGGUUAGUGCAAUGGCAUAAGCCAGCUUGACUGCGAGCGUGACGGCGCGAGCAGGUGCGAAAGCAGGUCAUAGUGAUCCGGUGGUUCUGAAUGGAAGGGCCAUCGCUCAACGGAUAAAAGGUACUCCGGGGAUAACAGGCUGAUACCGCCCAAGAGUUCAUAUCGACGGCGGUGUUUGGCACCUCGAUGUCGGCUCAUCACAUCCUGGGGCUGAAGUAGGUCCCAAGGGUAUGGCUGUUCGCCAUUUAAAGUGGUACGCGAGCUGGGUUUAGAACGUCGUGAGACAGUUCGGUCCCUAUCUGCCGUGGGCGCUGGAGAACUGAGGGGGGCUGCUCCUAGUACGAGAGGACCGGAGUGGACGCAUCACUGGUGUUCGGGUUGUCAUGCCAAUGGCACUGCCCGGUAGCUAAAUGCGGAAGAGAUAAGUGCUGAAAGCAUCUAAGCACGAAACUUGCCCCGAGAUGAGUUCUCCCUGACUCCUUGAGAGUCCUGAAGGAACGUUGAAGACGACGACGUUGAUAGGCCGGGUGUGUAAGCGCAGCGAUGCGUUGAGCUAA
rnacentral:rRNA from 1 species